CCGGCGACCGGCGCACGGGUGAGUAACACAUAUGCAACCUGCCCUCUUCAGGGGGACAACCUUCCGAAAGGGAGGCUAAUCCCGCGUAUAUCGGUUUCGGGCAUCCGAGAUCGAGGAAAGAUUCAUCGGAAGAGGAUGGGCAUGCGGCGCAUUAGCUAGACGGCGGGGUAACGGCCCACCGUGGCGACGAUGCGUAGGGGUUCUGAGAGGAAGGUCCCCCACACUGGUACUGAGACACGGACCAGACUCCUACGGGAGGCAGCAG
rnacentral:rRNA from 1 species